AAGUGGAGGGGUGGAGAGAGUUGAGGGGGGAGGGGGCAGAGUGAGUGAAAAUGUCCAAGGUGAGGAGAUGAAGGAGGCCAGUGGUAUUGGGUCCCUGGCACAUGGGGAGGAAGGUCUAAAGGAAAGGGACCAAGUUCUGAAGCCAAACUGAGGAUCUAUUGGAUCCUGGAGAUCAAGAGGGUUGAGCACUGGAUAAGUAGAAUUAUCAGCGGAGAGACAAGCACUGAAACUAGGACUGCUGAUGAGGCCAUAAAUGAGAAAGUGGAGAAGCAGAAAAGAAGAGGAGCCUUAAGGGGGCACCUACAGUUAGUGAGUGUAACCUGCAAUGAGACAGAGAAGGAGUGGUCAGACAGGUAGGAGAAGAAACAAGAGGAGGCUGUUUCUUAGACCUAGAAAGAAGAGAGUAUCCAGGAGGAGGAGAAGACUUACUGUAUGAUAUGCCUCAGAGGCAGGACUUGUACCCAGAGAAUCCUGCUAUGAAGAUGGCUCUCUAGCCAUUAUGCCUUGUUGCCUUGCAUGCUCAAGGUGACAGGUGAUAAAUACCAGGGUUUUCUCUGGGUGCAGGUGUUGAACUCAGGACUUAUAACUCCAGAGCCAGAGUAAUGUUUAACCUCUCAUGACUUAGAAAUAAGAUAUUUACAUCUCAACUCAGCUACUUCCCAGCUGCUUUAUCCAUCAUCUCUGUAAAACCUCAGCUUGGAGUGAUGUCGAUCGCUCACCCAGACUCUAGUACUGUCUUGUUUUGGGUGGAGGCUGUGUCCCUGAGGGUGCCUGGGAUUGACCCUAGAUUUCCUGGGAUCAUGCCUAUGAUAUCUGCUAAUGGGGGAAUGUGAAGUGGACUGAGAGGGAAGGAAAAUAGUCUAAGCUCUCAGGCUGCAGUCUGGCCCAAAUGACCUAUUUGUUUCCCAAACCUGCCAUCUGUCUCCCUCCUCCAUAUCUUUGUAUAGCUAUACCCUAUUUCAGGUAUACUCUCCCUCUUUACCUCUCUCUUUUAGAAUUCCUUAUUUCUUCAUCCUUUCUUUCUCUACUUUCUCUCUUCCUUCCUUUCUCCCUCCCUCCCUCUCUCCUUUCUUUCCUUCCUUCCUUCCUUCUUUCUUUCUUUCUUUCUUUCUUUCUUUCUUUCUUUCUUUCUUUCUCUUUCUUUCUUUCUUUCUUUCCUUCUUUCUUUCUUUCCUUCUUCUUUUCUCUCUCUCCCUCUUCCCCCUCCCUUCUUCCUCCUCCCUCCUUUCUUCUUCUUUUCUCUCCCUCCUCCUUCCUCUCUUCCUGCUGCUUGCUCUUCUCCUCUUCCUUCUNNNNNNNNNNNNNNNNNGGCAGAAAGGCUAAACAACUGGAUUAA
rnacentral:lncRNA from 1 species